rnacentral:misc_RNA from 1 species
GUGAAUGGUUGAUUUAUUCUACAUGGUGGGUAGGGGACAAUUUUUCGUCAUUGAUGCAAUCUAUUGGGGCAAGUGAGAAGGUUUUUCAAUUAAUGGAUCUCGGUUCUAGAGAUAAAUUCAUUGACAAAGGAGCCAAGUUGGAAGGAUUAGCAGGACGCAUUGAAUUUGUGAAUAUUAGUUUCUACUAUCCUUCAAGAGUUGAGGUGCCAGUACUUCAACAUAUUAACUUUGUGGUGCAUCCCGGUGAAGUAGUAGCACUCGUCAAAUGUUGCUACAUAAAAUGGGUCGGAGGCAGUAUUAUAGGAGAACUCACACAAAGGUUGGCCUAAGUGGUAGUGGAAAAAGCACUCUGGUGAACCUUCUCCUUCGGCUGUAUGAGCCAAUAAGUGGGC